AUUGAACGCUGGCGGCAGGCCUAACACAUGCAAGUCGAGCGGAGCGGCGGACGGGUGAGUAAUGCCUAGGAAUCUGCCUGGUAGUGGGGGAUAACGUCCGGAAACGGUAGCUAAUACCGCAUACCAUCAGAUGUGCCCAGAUGGGAUUAGCUAGUAGGUGGGGUAAUGGCUCACCUAGGCGACGAUCCCUAGCUGGUCUGAGAGGAUGACCAGCCACACUGGAACUGAGACACGGUCCAGACUCCUACGGGAGGCAGCAGUAGGGAAUCUUCCGCAAUGGGCGAAAGCCUGACGGAGCAACGCCGCGUGAGUGAUGAAGGUCUUCGGAUCGUAAAGCACUUUAAGUUGGGAGGCGUUACCAACAGAAUAAGCACCGGCUAACUUCGUGCCAGCAGCCGCGGUAAUUC
rnacentral:rRNA from 1 species